GCACUUGGUUGGAAGCAAAUA
rnacentral:miRNA from 1 species